GUCUGCCCGCGGUGGACCAACACCGCCUACCACUACUAAACACUUGUCUCCGACCUCCCGGACAAAUCUCUUUCAUAAGCUUACAAGCUAAUGUUUUACUUUAUGUUUGACUAUCACCACUUAAAAAAUGUGUAGUAAUUACAAAUGCCAUACUGACGUUAUACAUGUUACAGAUACGCUUGUCCUAGCUGUAGCGGCCUCAUAAAUAUUCAAGCUGAUGUUUUACUUUAUGUUUGACUA